ACAUUAUAUGACAUUUGACACUUAAGCAAGACAUCUCACAAGUGCAGACAUACCCCCAAAAUGUUUUCCGUUUCAGAGGAAAAUACAACUGCAGUUCAGAAAAGACAUUUGUUCAUCCCCCAAAACUAGGUUUCUGACCUUUUGAGAGGAGCCCUAAACUAAGGUGUUAUAUAACCCCCUGCACCCUGCUUGUGGCUCAGUGUUGAGCUAUGAAGAUGAGGUCACUGCUGCUUGUCUGCCUGAUUGUGGUCACACUGACUGUGGCUAUUGCUGCCCCCAAGCAAGAGGGGUCUGAAACGGGCAAAGGAAAAAAGAUUUGUAAAAAAAGACCUGCUUCUCCUGGUGUUGUAUCCUUGCUGGAUGGAGAUGGUGAAGAUGCUGGAGGCGGCUAAGCCAGCACAGUAUGGGGUAGAUUUGACAAGGGACAAGAAAAGAAGGCCACCUCCCCUCCAGACAUUCCGAUCAGAGAAAAGAGACAAUUCGAAGCCAACCCAAAGAGACGUCCAAGACCUUGUCUGGGCUGCCUAUCUGUAAUAUCAGCUAAAAAGGAGGCUCCUGUAACACAUACAGCUGAUCCUGUCCUAAUGUGAAGGUGGAUCCAACAAGUGACGUCGUGAUCCUGCCAGUCGAAGUGCAGAAAAAUCACAGUCAAAUGCAUGUUGGCCUGAUAACCAAAUAUUGUUCUUUUUUUUUUUUUUUUUUUUUUUUAAUCCUGCGCUAGUAAAUCAUGUAUCUGUGUCAGGAUAGCAUAUACAGCAUGCUCAUGCCUAAGUAAACAAACAUUUUAAGAACAUAAGAAAGUUUACAAACGAGAGGAGGCCAUUCGGCCCAUCUUGCUCUUUUGGUUGUUAGUAGCUUAUUGAUCCCAGAAUCUCAUCAAGCA